rnacentral:rRNA from 1 species
UACAUAGGGAGCAAGCGUUGUCCGGAAUCAUUGGGCGUAAAGCGCGCGUAGGCGGCCUCAUAAGUCCGUUGUGAAAGUCAAAGGCUCAACCUUUGAAAGCCGAUGGAUACUGUGAGGCUAGAGUCCGGAAGAGGCGAGUGGAAUUCCUGGUGUAGCGGUGGAAUGCGCAGAUAUCAGGAGGAACACCAAUAGCGAAGGCAGCUCGCUGGGACGGUACUGACGCUAAGGCGCGAAAGCGUGGGGAGCGAACAGG